CCUACGGGAGGCAGCAGUGGGGAAUUUUGGACAAUGGGCGAAAGCCUGAUCCAGCCAUGCCGCGUGAGUGAAGAAGGCCUUCGGGUUGUAAAGCUCUUUCAGUCGGAAAGAAACGAUUGUGAUUAAUACUCACAAUUAAUGACGGUACCGACAGAAGAAGCACCGGCUAACUACGUGCCAGCAGCCGCGGUAAUACGUAGGGUGCGAGCGUUAAU
rnacentral:rRNA from 1 species